rnacentral:rRNA from 1 species
CCUACGGGUGGCAGCAGUGAGGAAUAUUGGUCAAUGGCCGUAAGGCUGAACCAGCCAAGUCGCGUGAAUGAAGAAGGAUCUAUGUUUUGUAAACUUCUUUUAUAGGGUAGUAAAGGUAUCCACGUGUGGAUAUUUGCAUGUACCCUAUGAAUAAGCAUCGGCUAACUCCGUGCCAGCAGCCGCGGUAAUACGGAGGAUGCGAGCUUUAUCCGGGUUGAUUGUGUUUAAUGGGUGCGUAGGUUGUUGUUUAAGUCAGAGGUGAAAGUUUGUGGAGCAACCAGAAAAUUGCCGUUGAAACUGGAAGAAUGGAGUGUGUUUGAGGUAGGCGGAAGGCGGGGUGUAGCGGUGAAAUGCAUAGAUAUCACGCAGAACUCCGAUUGCGAAGGCAGCUUACUAAGCCAUAACUGACACUGAAGCACGAAAGCGUGGGGAUCAAACAGGAUUAGAUACCCUUGUAGUC